UACGUAGGGUGCGAGCGUUAAUCGGAAUUACUGGGCGUAAAGCGUGCGCAGGCGGCUUCGCAAGUCAGGCGUGAAAUCCCCGGGCUUAACCUGGGAAUGGCGUCUGAAACUACGGAGCUGGAGUGUGGCAGAGGGAGGUAGAAUUCCACGUGUAGCGGUGAAAUGCGUAGAUAUGUGGAGGAAUACCGAUGGCGAAGGCAGCCUCCUGGGCCAACACUAACGCUCAUGCACGAAAGCGUGGGGAGCAAACAGG
rnacentral:rRNA from 1 species